rnacentral:rRNA from 1 species
GGACUACCCGGGUAUCUAAUCCCGUUCGCUCCCCUGGCUUUCGCACCUCAGCGUCAGUCACUCGCCAGGACACUGCCUUCGCCUUCGGUGUUCCUCCGGAUCUCUACGCAUUUCACCACUCCACCCGGAAUUCCGUGUCCCUCUCGAGUCCUCAAGUCCGACCGUCUUUCGCAUGCUCGGGUAGUUGAGCCACCCGCUGUCACACAAAACGCGUCCGACCGCCUGCAUGCCCUUUACGCCCAGUAACUCCGGACAACGCUCGCCCCCUACGUAUUACCGCGGCGGCUGGCAC